UUGUACCGACUGGAUGAGCAGCGAACCGGUGAGUAACGCGUGGGGAAUCUGCCUUUGAGCGGGGGACAACAUUUGGAAACGAAUGCUAAUACCGCAUAACAACUUUAAACACAAGUUUUAAGUUUGAAAGAUGCAAUUGCAUCACUCAAAGAUGAUCCCGCGUUGUAUUAGCUAGUUGGUGAGGUAAAGGCUCACCAAGGCGAUGAUACAUAGCCGACCUGAGAGGGUGAUCGGCCACAUUGGGACUGAGACACGGCCCAAACUCCUACGGGAGGCAGCAGUAGGGAAUCUUCGGCAAUGGACGAAAGUCUGACCGAGCAACGCCGCGUGAGUGAAGAAGGUUUUCGGAUCGUAAAACUCUGUUGGUAGAGAAGAACGUUGGUGAGAGUGGAAAGCUCAUCAAGUGACGGUAACUACCCAGAAAGGGACGGCUAACUACGUGCCAGCAGCCGCGGUAAUACGUAGGUCCCGAGCGUUGUCCGGAUUUAUUGGGCGUAAAGCGAGCGCAGGUGGUUUAUUAAGUCUGGUGUAAAAGGCAGUGGCUCAACCAUUGUAUGCAUUGGAAACUGGUAGACUUGAGUGCAGGAGAGGAGAGUGGAAUUCCAUGUGUAGCGGUGAAAUGCGUAGAUAUAUGGAGGAACACCGGUGGCGAAAGCGGCUCUCUGGCCUGUAACUGACACUGAGGCUCGAAAGCGUGGGGAGCAAACAGGAUUAGAUACCCUGGUAGUCCACGCCGUAAACGAUGAGUGCUAGAUGUAGGGAGCUAUAAGUUCUCUGUAUCGCAGCUAACGCAAUAAGCACUCCGCCUGGGGGAGUACGACCGCAAGGUUGAAACUCAAAAGGAAUUGACGGGGGCCCGCACAAGCGGUGGAGCAUGUGGGUUUAAUUCGAAGCAACGCGAAGAACCUUACCAGGUCUUGACAUACUCGUGCUAUUCCUAGAAAAAAAGGAAGUUCCUUCGGGACACGGGAUACAAGGUGGGGGGAUGGGUUGUCGUCAGCU
rnacentral:rRNA from 1 species